CAAUACCCAUGAUUCGUCAAUCUUUAAAGAUCAAAAUGCUGCAAAACACUUGUCCUUCCUCAAUGACAAGUAUGUUGUUGUGCCCGCAGAGGAAGCCCAAAACAACAUCGUUUUUGUAUGUAAAUCUCAUUACAUUAACUGCUUGAUAAAUGAAUUAGGUAUUGACAAUUCACUUGGAAACUCAACAUAUACCCUAACGACAC
rnacentral:lncRNA from 1 species